AUUGAACGCUGGCGGCAGGCUUAACACAUGCAAGUCGAACGAGUGGCGGACGGGUGAGUAAUGCAUGGGCAUCUAGCUUAUGGAGGGGGAUAACUACGGGAAACUGUAGCUAAUACCGCGUACCAUAGGAUCAGCCCAAGUGGGAUUAGGUAGUUGGUGGGGUAAAGGCUCACCAAGCCGACGAUCUGUAGCUGGUCUGAGAGGAUGACCAGCCACACUGGGACUGAGACACGGCCCAGACUCCUACGGGAGGCAGCAGUGGGGAAUAUUGGACAAUGGGGGAAACCUGACGCAGCCAUGCCGCGUGAAUGAAGAAGGCCUUCGGGUUGUAAAGUUCUUUCGGUAGCGAGGCGGUAACUACAGAAGAAGCACCGGCUAACUCCGUGCCAGCCGCCGCGGUAAUUC
rnacentral:rRNA from 1 species